rnacentral:rRNA from 1 species
CUACGGGGUGCAGCAGUGAGGAAUUUUGCGCAAUGGGGGGAACCCUGACGCAGCAACGCCGCGUGAGUGAUGAAGGCUUUCGGGUCGUAAAGCUCUGUCAAGUGGGAAGAACCUAUGCAGUGUUAAUAUCACUGUAUACUGACGGUACCACUGAAGGAAGCACCGGCUAACUCCGUGCCAGCAGCCGCGGUAAUACGGGGGGUGCAAGCGUUAUUCGGAAUCAUUGGGCGUAAAGGGCACGUAGGCGGCUUGGUAAGUCAGAUGUGAAAGCCCGGGGCUUAACCCCGGAAGUGCAUUUGAUACUGUCAGGCUUGAGUAUGGGAGAGGGAAGUGGGAUUCCUGGUGUAGAGGUGAAAUUCGUAGAUAUCAGGAGGAACACCGGUGGCGAAGGCGACUUCCUGGACCAAUACUGACGCUGAGGUGCGAAGGCGUGGGUAGCAAACAGGAUUAGAUACCCUCGUAGUC